GGUGGGUUGGCUCAGUGGUUAGAGCGUAGGUCUUGUAACCGAAAGGUUGCGGGAUCGAAUUUCUGGUUUUUUCA
rnacentral:tRNA from 1 species